AGAACGAACGCUGGCGGCAUGCCUAACACAUGCAAGUCGAACGAGACCUUCGGGUCUAGUGGCGCACGGGUGCGUAACGCGUGGGAAUCUGCCCUUGGGUUCGGGAUAACAGUUGGAAACGACUGCUAAUACCGGAUGAUGACUUCGGUCCAAAGAUUUAUCGCCCAGGGAUGAGCCCGCGUAGGAUUAGCUAGUUGGUGAGGUAAAGGCUCACCAAGGCGACGAUCCUUAGCUGGUCUGAGAGGAUGAUCAGCCACACUGGGACUGAGACACGGCCCAGACUCCUACGGGAGGCAGCAGUGGGGAAUAUUGGACAUGGGCGAAAGCCUGAUCCAGCAAUGCCGCGUGAGUGAUGAAGG
rnacentral:rRNA from 1 species